GUGCCAGCAGCCGCCGCGGUAAUACGGAGGGUGCAAGCGUUGUUCGGAAUUAUUGGGCGUAAAGGGCGCGUAGGCGGCAGUGUAAGUCAGAUGUGAAAUACUCCGGCUCAACCAGAGAACAGCAUCUGAAACUGCACAGCUAGAGUACAGAAGAGGGAAACGGAAUUCCCGGUGUAGAGGUGAAAUUCGUAGAUAUCGGGAGGAACACCAGUGGCGAAGGCGGUUUCCUGGUCUGAUACUGACGCUGAGGCGCGAAAGCGUGGGGAGCAAACAGGAUUAGAUACCCUGGUAGUCCACGCUG
rnacentral:rRNA from 1 species